rnacentral:miRNA from 1 species
CAGGGUCAGCUGAGCAUG